rnacentral:rRNA from 1 species
AGCGAACGCUGGCGGCAGGCCUAACACAUGCAAGUCGAACGGACCCUUCGGGGUUAGUGGCGGACGGGUGAGUAACACGUGGGAACGUGCCUUUAGGUUCGGAAUAGCUCCUGGACACGGGUGGUAAUGCCGAAUGUGCCCUUCGGGGGAAAGAUUUAUCGCCUUUAGAGCGGCCCGCGUCUGAUUAGCUAGUUGGUGAGGUAAUGGCUCACCAAGGCGACGAUCAGUAGCUGGUCUGAGAGGAUGACCAGCCACAUUGGGCCUGAGACACGGCCCAAACUCCUCCGGGAGGAAGCAGUGGGGAAUCUUGCGCAAUGGGCGAAAGCCUGACGCAGCCAUGCCGCGUGGAUGAUGAAGGUCUUAGGAUUGUAAAAUCCUUUCACCGGUGAAGAUAAUGACUGUAGCCGGAGAAGAAGCCCCGGCUAACUUCGUGCCAGCCGCCGCGGUAA